rnacentral:rRNA from 1 species
ACAAUGGGCGCAAGCCUGAUGCAGCCAUGCCGCGUGUAUGAAGAAGGCCUUCGGGUUGUAAAGUACUUUCAGCAGUGAGGAAGGCGGAGUCGUUAAUAGCGGCCUCGUUUGUACGUUAGCUGCAGAAGAAGCACCGGCUAACUCCGUGCCAGCAGCCGCGGUAAUACGGAGGGUGCGAGCGUUAAUCGGAAUUACUGGGCGUAAAGCGCAUGCAGGUGGUUUGUUAAGUCAGAUGUGAAAGCCCGGGGCUCAACCUCGGAAUUGCAUUUUGAAACUGGCAGACUAGAGUACUGUAGAGGGGGUAGAAGUUUCAGGUGUAGCGGUGAAAUGCGUAGAGAUCUGAAGGAAUAACCGGUGGCGAAGGCGGCCCCCUGGACCAGAUACUGACACUCAGAUGCGAAAGCGUGGGGAGCAAACAGGAUUAGAUACCCUGGUAG